AGAUUAGUUCCCCAUCCUCUCUAACCGGAUCGUCCUCUCCCAGUUCCUUAAGUACAGAAAAUUUGUACUUGCCAUUCUAUCCCUACCAUACGUUCAAUCCUUCGUGUCCUGACUCUCAGCUACCACUGUCCCUCCAGACCCUCUCACUACGUCAGUCCCUACCUCCAUCCCCAGGAUCUUGUCCUCAAAGCGAGCUAGUUCUCUCGAGGAGGCCUUGGCUCCAUUGGCCUUUGCGCUUUCUUAUGUGGGAGCUGGGGGCUUCUUUGACGGUUGGAUUCUGCCUUUUAGCCAUGGCCACUGGGUUGCUGCAAAAGGCACCUCCUCUCAGCCAGUCCAGGGACGCUUCCAGUUACCUGGCCAGCCCGCCCUGCAUGGCCUCGGCUCUCUAGUCCAGGCAUUGACCAUGAGUACGGUGGUGGACACCUCGCCACAGCCGGACCUGCGCUCUUGCUCCCCUCAAUCUCGGGUCUGUAUAAGAUACUUGAUUCAGACAAGCCUUUUCAAAGAGAAGAUGCAAUGGGCCUGUGUUGAACGGGUCUUUCCGAUUGAUUUCUUUCUAGAAAUGCCUUUAGCACAACCCCGGGAAGGAUUAAUGGCUGCGAACUCCUCCAGACUUCAAAGCCUCUGAUUUGAAACUCCCACCUUGUAGGUCAAGCAAAGACCACAGAAAUUCCCGAUCAGUUCCGAAGGAGCCACACUGUUGCCUAAAUAGCAAUUCUUUACUCUUUUCGAAUAAGCGUUUUCCAGAAUAGAUUUUUUAAAAAAGAAAGAAACUGGCCUAUCUACUCGUUCUUUCCCAGCUUUGCCCCUAAUCCUUCAUUAACUAACUCCUAACCCCCUCCCAGACCUGAAGCCCUCUGCAAUAAAUACCUCUUACGUGAAUUGCUUAUUUAAAGGCAAUUACACUAAAUAUCCCUCGAGUUUGCAAACAGUGUCAGGAUUGAGCGGCUGGACUGGGGUGCAUCUGGAAGAGGGUGGGGACAGGAGGAGAGAGUGGGGAUAGAGGAAGAGGGUCCUAGCCAGAUCGCCGGUGUCUGAAGGUGGCAGGUGCAGCCUUCCCUGCACAGUACAAAUCUAAAAGGGGAAGAAAGGAGUUGUGCCACCGAAGCGUGGUGUGAAUCGUUGUGGGGUUCCGGAGUUUUGCUUGCUUUUCUACAUUCACUCGGCUGACAAAGCACAUAGGGGAGGAUAAAAUAAGUCAUCCAGGGGCCUGGUCCUAGGAUUUACCCCUGUACUCUAUGUAUCUUCAGUGUUGGGCUAAAACUCGAGGGCGUCAGAGUACUAGCCCUUAGAAGGUAGUACACAGCCUGAGGUCUGAGGACAUUUGCGGCAGGGCCAGGUUAAGUGCUGCCCCUCGCCCGGCAGCUGCCCCGACUGGCAGCACACCGUGCUGCAGGCAUAUGGAACUCGUGCCUAGGCUCUCAUUUUUCCAACUUUGGGGAGCUCCGGAGGAGAUCUGGGGAUGGAGUAGGAGAAAGGACUCCAUCUAACCUCGAGGGCUCCGAUGUGACCCUCCUCCGCGCGGAUAAUUUCGACCCAGAGCGCCGGCAUCGCGACUCUCAGCCAGUGCCCGCGAGGCUCCCGGGAGAUGCAGGGUAGUAAGACCCUAAAGCGAGGAGCCCGGACCACGGCCUGGAUUGAGAAAGAAGCAAGCAAACAAAAAUCCUCGGUAGCUGUGUGUAACUUCGGGAGUGGAGAGCCGAGACACACCGACGGCGCCGGAGCGUCCCAAUAACAAUGGCUGCUGCAGUGGGUUGGGAGAGGAGACCCGUACAAGUUCCUAAAGGCACGGGAGGAACGCGGGCAAACCAGGUUUAGGGCCCCAGGCGACUUGUAGAAGGAACGACUUCCGCAACCUAUCAGCACCGUGGACAAUUCCCACUCCAAAGGCCCUGACCUUCGGCCUACCAGAUUCAGCAAAAUCUCUCUCUUCCUCCCUUCCUUCCUCCUUUCCUCCGACCCUUCCUCCUUUCCUCCCUUCCUUUCCUCCGUCCCCUUCCCCCUCCUUUCCCUCCUUUCCUCCCUCCCCUUCUUCCUCCUUUCUUUCCCUUCCUCCUUUCCGCUCUUCCCUGUUUGCUUUGUUUCAAAAACAAAAACAAAAACAAACAAAAAACACUGGGCACCAUGACUGAGCUUUUUAAAGAGUCCUGUAAGUCUGCAUCUAAUUAGCCAAAUAUUCACAGUAAGUUUCCUGGAAAACUAGAUAGCCAGAUUUAGGGGUAAGGAAAGAGCUUAAACUAUAAUUUGAGCUGGCUAGUCUGAAACAAAGACAGAAAUCAUAAAUUGAAUAGCUUUCAAAAAGAUAGUCAUUAUUCAAAUAUUUGUACUUAUUUGCCACACAGCUUCAAAACCAAAAUGAAUUUCUUGUUUACUCUCCACAGAAAUAAUAAAA